rnacentral:misc_RNA from 1 species
GUGGAUUUGCCUUCAGAUUAGAAGAGAAGAGAACUCAAUGAUUAGUUUAUACCACCCUUCUUUCCAUGUGGAAUACUUUAUUGCAAUUUAAUCAACAUUACCUCCUAGAUUUUGUUUAUAUGUGUGGAAUAUUUACUUGUAAGUUCAAUCAAAACUAAUAAAACAGAAACGUAAAGGCCAAUUGAGCUUGUCCAUUUACUAAUUGUCAGAGUCAAACUGACGCAUAAAAACAAACACUAAGGAACUUACAGGUAAUCCACCAUCUGCAUCAA